rnacentral:rRNA from 1 species
AUAGAUCUAGAGCGCUGGAAUGCCUUUAGGUCGAAAACUCCGGUGCCUUAGGAUUGGUCUGCGGUCUAUCAGGCAGUAGUGGGUGUAACGGACCCACUAGCCCGUGACGGAUAUGGGCCUUGAGAGAGGGUGCCCAGAGAUGGACUCUGAGACAUGAGUCCAGGCCCUACGGGGCGCAGCAGGCGCGAAAACUUUACAAUGCGGGAAACCGUGAUAAGGGGACACCGAGUGCCAGCAUCCUAUGCUGGCUGUCCGGGUGUGUAAAAUACACUCGUUAGCAAGGGCCGGGCAAGACCGGUGCCAGCCGCCGCGGUAACACCGGCGGCCCGAGUGGUGAUCGUGAUUAUUGGGUCUAAAGGGUCCGUAGCCGGUUUGGUCAGUCCUCCGGGAAAUCUGACAGCUUAACUGUUAGGCUUUCGGAGGAUACUGCCAGACUUGGAACCGGGAGAGGUAAGAGGUACUACAGGGGUAGGAGUGAAAUCUUGUAAUCCCUGUGGGACCACCUGUGGCGAAGGCGUCUUACCAGAACGGGUUCGACGGUGAGGGACGAAAGCUGGGGGCACGAACCGGAUUAGAUACCCGGGUAGUCCCAGCCGUAAACGAUGCUCGCUAGGUGUCAGGCAUGGCGCGACCGUGUCUGGUGCCGCAGGGAAGCCGUGAAGCGAGCCACCUGGGAAGUACGGCCGCAAGGCUGAAACUUAAAGGAAUUGGCGGGGGAGC